rnacentral:rRNA from 1 species
GACGAACGCUGGCGGCGUGCUUAACACAUGCAAGUCGAACGGAAAGGCCCUGCUUUUGUGGGGUGCUCGAGUGGCGAACGGGUGAGUAACACGUGAGUAACCUGCCCUUGACUUUGGGAUAACUUCAGGAAACUGGGGCUAAUACCGGAUAGGAGCUCCUGCUGCAUGGUGGGGGUUGGAAAGUUUCGGCGGUUGGGGAUGGACUCGCGGCUUAUCAGCUUGUUGGUGGGGUAGUGGCUUACCAAGGCUUUGACGGGUAGCCGGCCUGAGAGGGUGGCCGGCCACAUUGGGACUGAGAUACGGCCCAGACUCCUACGGGAGGCAGCAGUGGGGAAUAUUGCACAAUGGGCGGAAGCCUGAUGCAGCAACGCCGCGUGCGGGAUGACGGCCUUCGGGUUGUAAACCGCUUUCGCCUGUGACGAAGCGUGAGUGACGGUAAUGGGUAAAGAAGCACUGGCUAACUACGUG